AACAAAAAUCGCUUAACGACAUCAUAUACUAAAAAGCUAAAGAGGUAAAAAAAAUUAAAAUUUGCGAAAAAAUGUAUACCUAGAGUCCAAAAUUCUGUAUCGAUCAGUACCUAUAUAUCACAACACAGAAGAAAAAAUAUUUAUUGAGAUAUGGAGCUUCAAAAAUUCAUGAUAUUGAAAGUGUUCUUCCAGGCAAAAUCACAAAAUGAGUACAAGCAUAAAUAGUAUAUACAAGCACUAAACUAUCAAAGUAUGACUACUACUGACAGCAUAAAAACAGGACUGCAUUGGACACAACGAGGAGAUCGUCUUGGAUGUAUCUGGCUGCACUGUACAACAUAGGUCCGAGGUGGUUAUACUGCUGGAGACUGCCGGAAUCCCCGGAUCUCAAGAAUCAAAGGAGUAUAUUUAGAGGAAUGUAAAACAAACAGCCUUGAGCUUCCUUGAUUGGUUUCUGGAAAUAGGAUUUCAAUAGAAGUUGUAGGCUUUUAGUUCAGCAAACCCUAGGGUAACAACCUUUAUUUUAUUUUUCCUAUUGAAGCAACCAUUAGAAAGAGAAGAAAGUUCCAGAACCGUGACACUCCGAUUUCUUUAUCCAGUGACAAUUUAUGUUUAAUAGUGAUAAUUCAGCAGUUUCAUUUAUUCAGCUAGGUUAUAGAGGUGCAAAACUCUAUUAAAACUUUCAAGUAACUCGUA